AGAAGUUUCGAAAAACUUAUCACAGUUCAUUUUCGUGUGUACACAAAGAAAAACAACAAACUCAAAGGAAAAUUGUGAAAAACUCGAAUAUGGAAGAUACUCCGAUGCCCAAUAUCGACAUGCAUCGUCUCAUUAUAAGACGAAAAAUGACUGCCUUAAAGGAGUGCCUGAAGAACACUGAUAAGUUAUUGGAUGACGCGUUACUUUCUUUGGAAAGUGUUCCUGUGAGAACUGAUGAAAAUGAAGAAGAGGAGGAAGAGGAAAAGAGCAAACAAAAAAGUAAAGAAGUGAAGCCAGAAAAUAAUACGAACGACAAAUCGGACAGAAAAUGGUCUGUUACAUCCAUAUACUUUUGAAAAUGCUUAAGUUUCUUCACAUUUCUUAUAUUUGAGCCCAAAUACAACCUUUAGUUCGUUUUAUCUACGAUAAA